rnacentral:rRNA from 1 species
GACGACCGCUGGCGGCGUGCUUAACACAUGCAAGUCGAACGGAAAGGCCCUGCUUUUGUGGGGUGCUCGAGUGGCGAACGGGUGAGUAACACGUGAGUAACCUGCCCUUGACUUUGGGAUAACUUCAGGAAACUGGGGCUAAUACCGGAUAGGAGCUCCUGCUGCAUGGUGGGGGUUGGAAAGUUUCGGCGGUUGGGGAUGGACUCGCGGCUUAUCAGCUUGUUGGUGGGGUAGUGGCUUACCAAGGCUUUGACGGGUAGCCGGCCUGAGAGGGUGACCGGCCACAUUGGGACUGAGAUACGGCCCAGACUCCUACGGGAGGCAGCAGUGGGGAAUAUUGCACAAUGGGCGGAAGCCUGAUGCAGCAACGCCGCGUGCGGGAUGACGGCCUUCGGGUUGUAAACCGCUUUCGCCUGUGACGAAGCGCGAGUGACGGUAAUGGGUAAAGAAGCACCGGCUAACUACGUG